GACGAACGCUGGCGGCGUGCUUAACACAUGCAAGUCGAACGGUGAAGCGCCUUCCUUUUUGGUGGGUGUGGAUGAGUGGCGAACGGGUGAGUAACACGUGAGUAACCUGCCCCCUUCUUCUGGAUAACCGCAUGAAAGUGUGGCUAAUACGGGAUAUUCUGGGUCUGUCGCAUAAUGGGUCUGGGAAAGGUUUUUUUCUGGUGGGGGAUGGGCUCGCGGCCUAUCAGCUUGUUGGUGGGGUGAUGGCCUACCAAGGCGGUGACGGGUAGCCGGCCUGAGAGGGUGGACGGUCACACUGGGACUGAGACACGGCCCAGACUCCUACGGGAGGCAGCAGUGGGGAGCAUUGCACAAUGGGCGCAAGCCUGAUGCAGCGACGCCGCGUGAGGGAUGGAGGCCUUCGGGUUGUGAACCUCUUUCGCCAGUGAAGCAGGCCUGCCUCGUU
rnacentral:rRNA from 1 species